CACUGGAUACCAGGAUAGGGGCAAAAGAAUAUUAAAAGCUUCCAAAAUUCAGUAUCAAAACUGUACACACUGCAGAGUCGAGGACUCAAGAAAAAUACCAGUUGGCUUCCACAUGAAAUCCUGGAUGUUCGUUCUUACUGAAGCGGAAUGAUCUAGAUGAGAGAGCACUGGACUGGAACUCAGGACACCUGGGGCAGGAAUAGACUGGGAUCGUGGCAGGAUCUAGAUGAUUGGAGCUGUACUAAGUAUAGUUGAAAGUUGGGAAGGACCAAGACCCCAUUCACCAUUCAGUGAUGGCUGUAUUUACCUGUGAGUCUUCCUGUAUAUGUGUGUGCUGGCAAGUGAGUAAUGAAGUCUUGCAGUGACAUGUGAUCAUGUCACCUGAACUGGAAUCCAUCUUUAACCUGGUGCUUUUCCAGUGAGGGGGGUGGAAACCCAGAGAGACAAAGAGUUCCCGCCUUAUGCAAAAGAUAUAUAAAGGGGGGAAGAGAACAGAGAAGGAGAGAAGCCAUCAUGAAGAAUCCCCUAGCUACCACCUGAGCUGCAACAAGAGCUGUACCAGGGGAAAGAAUUGUGCCCAGGCCUGGAAGGUGUCCAGUCUGAGAAAAACUUACUGAAACAUCUCUGAGGGUGAGAUUAUCUGUAUUUAGUUUGAUUAGGCAUAGAUUUGCGCAUUUUAUUUUAUUUUGCUUGGUGACUUACUUUGUUCUGUCUGUUACUACUUUGAACCACUUAAAUCCUACCGUCUGUAUUUAAUAAAAUCACUUUUUAUUUAGUAAUUCACUCAGAGUAUGUAUUAAUACCUGGGGGAGCAAACAACUGUGCAUAUCUCUCUAUCAGUGUUAUAGAGGGCGAACAAUUUAUGAGUUUGCCCUGCAUAAGCUUUAUGCAGGGUAAAACGGA